rnacentral:rRNA from 1 species
GACGAACGCUGGCGGCGUGCUUAACACAUGCAAGUCGAACGGAAAGGCCCUGCUUUUGUGGGGUGCUCGAGUGGCGAACGGGUGAGUAACACGUGAGUAACCUGCCCUUGACUUUGGGAUAACUUCAUGAAACUGGGGCUAAUACCGGAUAGGAGCUCCUGCUGCAUGGUGGGGGUUGGAAAGUUUCGGCGGUUGGGGAUGGACUCGCGGCUUAUCAGCUUGUUGGUGGGGUAGUGGCUGACCAAGGCUUUGACGGGUAGCCGGCCUGAGAGGGUGACCGGCCACAUUGGGACUGAGAUACGGCCCAGACUCCUACGGGAGGCAGCAGUGGGGAAUAUUGCACAAUGGGCGGAAGCCUGAUGCAGCAACGCCGCGUGCGGGAUGACGGCCUUCGGGUUGUAAACCGCUUUCGCCUGUGACGAAGCGUGAGUGACGGUAAUGGGUAAAGAAGCACCGGCUAACUACGUG